CGGCCUCCAGGUUUAAUCAGCAACAGUUACCCAAAGGAUUUUCUACUUGGUUUACUCUGAUGCUUGCUUUUGGGUGGAGGGAGGGCCUAGGAUGAUGUCAAAUUACAGUCUUUCCUCCUCCCCUCAGGAAGUAAAGUCCACUGGCAGGAGUGCCUAAAUUGGCUCUAACCCUGGGCUCUCACAAUGCUUGCUUGUUUUCACAGGGCAGAAGAAUGAAAGGCCUUAGAAAAAGAGCAACAUUCUGGAAAAUUGUAUAGUUUCUUUUUCUUCCCAGAUUGUCUCAAGUCUGUGGAGGAUUCCCUUGCUACACACCACAUCAAAGGAAUCUUCUGCAUUUAAAACAAACGAAGCAUCAUGCUGAAGAGGGAGGGGAAGGUCCGACCCUACACGAAAUCCCUGGAUGGAGGUUGGGGAUGGAUGGUUGUGUUUCAUUUCUUCCUGGUAAAUGUAUUCGUGAUGGGGAUGACCAAGACUUUUGCAAUUUUCUUUGUGGUUUUUCAAGAAGAGUUUGAAGGCACCUCAGAGCAAACUGGUUGGAUUGGAUCCAUCAUGUCAUCGCUUCGUUUUUCUGCAGGUCCCCUAGUUGCUGUUACUUGUGACAUAAUUGGAGAGAAAACUGCCUCCAUUCUUGGGGCUUUCCUUGUUACUGGUGGAUAUCUGAUCAGCAGCUGGGCUACAAGCAUUCCCUUUCUUUGUGUGACUAUGGGAUUUUUACCUGGUUUGGGUUCUGCUUUCUUGUACCAAGUCGCUGCUGUGGUCACUACCAAAUACUUCAAAAAACGAUUAGCUCUUUCUACAGCUAUUGCCCGUUCAGGGAUGGGACUGACAUUUCUGUUAGCGCCUUUUACAAAAGUCCUGAUAGAUCUAUAUGACUGGACAGGUGCCCUUAUAUUAUUUGGAGCAAUCACAUUGCAUUUGGUGCCUUCUAGUAUGCUCUUGAGACCCACCCAUAUCAAAAGCGAGAGCAAUUCCGAUAUUAAAGAUAAAAGUAGCAGUUUUUCUGCAAGUGGUCCAGAGGCAGCAUGUGGGACAGAAACAUCAUGCCGCAAUGAGAUACAAGAGUCUGCCAUCAGGGACAAUACUAUGCAGGAUGGACAACCUGGUAUAAGUUUAACAGUCUCACAAAAUCAAAAUGAAGAGUUCAACAAUGAACCUAACAGGAACAGACUCUUCCAAAAAACUGAUGAAGAAAGUUAUGGGAAUAAGACUAUUUUGUGGAGCUGCAAACAAAAACUCUUUGAUUUUUCUCUUCUUAAGAAUCCUUUUUUCUACAUAUUUACGUGGUCUUUUCUCCUCAGUCAGUUGGCAUAUUUCAUCCCUACCUUUCACCUGGUAGCCAGAGCCAAAACACUGGGGAUUAAUAUCAUGGAUGCCUCCUACCUCGUUUCUGUAGCUGGUAUCAUUGAGACAGUCAGUCAGAUUAUCUCCGGAUGGAUUGCUGAUCAAAACUGGAUCAAGAAGUAUCAUUACCACAAGUCUUACCUCAUCCUCUGUGGCAUCACUAACCUGCUUGCUCCUUUUGCCACCACAUUUCCACUACUUAUGACCUAUACCAUCUUCUUUGCCAUAUUCUCCGGUGGUUACCUGGCAUUGAUACUUCCUGUACUGGUUGAUCUGUCUGGGAAUUCUAUGGUACACAGGUUCUUGGGGCUUGCCAGUUUCUUUGCUGGGAUGGCUGUCCUUUCUGGACCACCUUUAGCAGGCUGGUUAUAUGAUUAUACCCAGACAUACACCGGCUCCUUCUACCUCUCGGGCAUAUGCUAUCUCCUCUCUUCAGUUUCCCUUUUCCUUGUACCAUUGGCUGAGAGAUGGAAAAACAGUCUGACCAGAAAGAGAGAGGACUGCAAUCAAGUGAGAGCUUAACAAAAGAAAGUCUAAACUAAAAGUCACUGGAAACAAAAGCAUGGAAGAAAAGUACCCGCAUUUGUAAACUAAGAAGAGCAACUAAGCCCGUGUGCCCCAACUACUGAGCCUGCUCUCUAGAGCCCGUGAGCCACAACUACUGAGCCCACGCACCACAACUACUGAAGCCUGCACGCCUAGAGCCAGUGCUCCGCAACAACAGAAGCCACCGCAAUGAGAAGCCCACGCACAAUGAAGAGUAGCCCCGGCUUGCGGCAACUAGAGAAAGCCUGCGCGCAGCAAUGAAGACCCAAUACAGCCAAAAAUAAAUAAAAUAAAUAAAUUUAUAAAUAAAUAAA